CUCUCCCUACCCUCUUGUCUCUCUUUAAAAUCAAUACACAUAUCUUUGGGUGAGAAUUUUUAAAAAAUCAAAGAUGGAUAUUGAGAAUUUCAAGGAAAUGGCAACAUUUUUGAACUGUAAAGUGUGUCCCACUCCACACCACUCUAACUGGUGUAUUUUGUAGGUCAGCUAUUUUCCAGGAAGCAGUAUGGCCAUGGGAGGAAGACUCUCAGAUUUCAGCUUUGAAGAGGAGCUCAGAUUGCCAGACUGGACUAGCUCUUCUGAAUUUCCUGAGAAUGAAGUAUGGUAGCAACCAUCUCAGGUAGAAACUGUAGUUUAACUCUAACCCUGCUGUUUGGCUUAACAAUAGAAAAGUUAUUUUGAUUUUCUGAAUUAUAUAAAUCAUCCCAUUCGAUUGAAUGCCUUAUUGAUUGUAAUGUGAAUAUCCCAUUGAUUGUGAUCUUACUGGUUUUAGGAAGCAUAUUUUUCUCGUCCCCAAUACCAGGACAGCGCAAUUACUCUAAAUUGCCUCAAUGGCUCUAGAUAAUGUGUUCCUGGUAACUCAAUGGUCCCAAGACCCGAGGGCUCUAGAUGAUGUGUUUCUGUCAACGCAGUGAUCCUGAGACCCAAAACUAUAAUUAACAUGCUUAAUUCUGCUUCUGUAAACUGCUUUUUUGCGAACCAGGUUCGUCAUUCCAAACCCUGGGAUGUAAUCAGUACCUUUGUGAUUUUUGCCUCUAUAAAUCUGGUGUUGCGGCCAUCUUAUCACUUCAAGAUUUGGGAGAGCGAAAUGCCCCCUCAGAGUCACGGAUUGCAAUAAAUGUGACUCUUUAAUUC